AAACUCCAAGCAAUCAUUGAUGUUCCUCGUCUCAAACUUUGCAAAAUGGAGUCUUCCUUCAAGGAUGGGAUGUUUGCCACUUUUGGAAACUCCAAGAGUAUUAUUUGCAGAGCUAUCCCCUUCAUGAUCAAUACAAUCAUCUCUACUUGUUGAGAAAUAAACCACCUUGAUCAGAGUUCCUCCAAUAUCGAGGGCCAAAUGAGAUACUUGACCAAAGGAAUGGCUGGGUUCUGAAUUCCCUUCAAUUUGAUCG
rnacentral:misc_RNA from 1 species